UGAUUAAAUGGAGUUCAGUUUUUUUUAAUUCAAUGUAAGGUUGCGGACAGAGAAGGCAAACAAACAAAAAACCCAAUCACCUCUUAUAGUCUGAAAUUGACUUCCAUCACAUGACUUCUUUAAAUGAAGCAAUUUAUUUAAAUGUAUAUAAGUCUAGAUCAUUAGAGUUACCAAAUACUAUAGGCCUGUGCCAUGAACUAAGCUGCUUUUAGUUUACCCCAAGCAUAUGUAUACAAAAACAGCCCCGCUCACUUUAUGACCACAUUGGCUGCUCAUUUAAUGAAGACAUCAAACUGUAAAUCAAUUUGUAGAGUGUGAAACUUU